rnacentral:tRNA from 1 species
AGUCCUGUAGCUCAAUGGUGGAGCAUCUGUCCUACAAACAGAGGGCUGUAGGUUCGAAUCCUAUCAGGACUACCA